GCCUGAGUGGCUCAGUUGGUUGAGCAUCCGACUUUCGGCUCAGGUCAUGAUCUCGCAGUUUGUGGGUUCAAGCCCCGCAUCGGGCU
rnacentral:tRNA from 1 species